CGAUGCUCAGGAAAGGCAGUUGAUCCAUCGACCGGCUCGGCUUUGCAACUCUGUAUUAAAGUCUAUAUUGAAUUCACAAAGUUCUUGCAAGAGUAUUAUAUUCUUAAGACAAUUUUCCACGACAUAUUUGGCGAGCUUGCCAGGAGAUCGAAGAGACCUCGGACAGUGUCGUUCUUGGCUGGUGACGGUUUCUCUGGACAAUCUCACAAACGGGUGGCCACCCAACUAUAAACAGGGUAGCUAAGGAUGAAUGCCCCAGGGAGAAUUGGACAUGUGGAAAAUGAAAGGGGUGUCACGCUUGUCGUCGGUUAAAGAGGACCAAAACGCAGCAGGUGAAUUACAGGAGAAGGUGAUUCACUCAAUCCAACCAGGAGACUGGGUGUGGAUCCAGUCCCUGAGGAGAAAAGACAGGAAGCAGCCCCGUGGGGAAGGCCCAUACCAGGUUCUGUUAAACCACUGCCUUUGCCAUUAGAAAAGCUGAGAGAGUCACUUGGGUCCACGUUACCCACUGCAAGAAGGUAUGUACACAUAUGAGCACUGCUGAUCACACACAGAGUUAGGAGAAGAACCGAGUACCAACAGGGUCCGGGGGUCACCUCCUUAACGAAGAUUCCCUAUCCCGACCGUUCAUCACUGUGUGUGCUCCUAGAGGUGUGAGUAUGGGGUGGUACCAAGCAGAGAGACUAAGGGCAGGAGAGGGUUGGCGGUUUUUGGGAAGAGUAGAGACUCUGAGCUGCAUCAUAGUCUAAUCUUUCUGAUACAUUCAGAUCCACCAGAUUCCGGUACUAAUCAAACGAUACCGUUGUCAUCGAGAAGAAGUAAAAGAUAAACUAUAUAAUACACUGAUGAGUGACUUACAUAAUAAGGAGUCAAAGAAGAUCAAGAUGUAGGAUUUAAGGUAAACAUUAAACAACUUCCUAGGAAAGCAGACAACUGUACAGGGACUGGGUGGGUCAGAUUGAGGUACUCGGCCAACCCACCUAGGUUCACCUUAACUCCUGAUGAGUACCAGUGUUAUAGAUACAAGAAUGGCACCGAGAACUUGGAUGAUUUUAAUAGCUGGAAAGUAAUUGUUAAUGUGACUGACUUAGGUUUGAAAGAUGAAUAGAAAAUGCUUAACCUCACAGCACCUAUAACUGAUGUUGGGUGGGCUAGUACCAGCAAAGGACGCAUACGACAGAAAUUACCACAAAGGGUGGUUAGGAGCUUGCGCCCGGGUUUAUUGGUCCAACCAGUUCAAGUUAGUCAUCAGAGGCCAGUUAUAGGAGGCUAAAGUAGACACAGGAGGAGUUUUGACCAGGAUGGGAGUAGCUUUGUCUAGAUGGAUGCUAUUGGCAUCCACAGGGAAGUUCCAGAUGAAUACAAAGCUAUGAAUCAAAUAUGUGAAGGCUUUAACACUACAUUAUUAUGGUAGUUGACAAUAAAUAAAAAUGUGGAUGGGAUUAAUGACAUCUUUUAUAAUCAACAG
rnacentral:lncRNA from 1 species